UACGUAGGGUGCAAGCGUUUAAUCGGAAUUACUGGGCGUAAAGCGUGCGCAGGCGGUUAUAUAAGACAGUUGUGAAAUCCCCGGGCUCAACCUGGGAACUGCAUCUGUGACUGUAUAGCUAGAGUACGGUAGAGGGGGAUGGAAUUCCGCGUGUAGGCAGUGAAAUGCGUAGAUAUGCGGAGGAACACCGAUGGCGAAGGCAAUCCCCUGGACCUGUACUGACGCUCAUGCACGAAAGCGUGGGGAGCAAACAGG
rnacentral:rRNA from 1 species